AGUGAACGCUGGCGGUAUGCCUAACACAUGCAAGUCGAACGGCAGCACAGGAGAGCUUGCUCUCUGGGUGGCGAGUGGCGGACGGGUGAGGAAUACAUCGGAAUCUACUUUUUCGUGGGGGAUAACGUAGGGAAACUUACGCUAAUACCGCAUACGACCUACGGGUGAAAGCAGGGGAUCUUCGGACCUUGCGCGAUUGAAUGAGCCGAUGUCGGAUUAGCUAGUUGGCGGGGUAAAGGCCCACCAAGGCGACGAUCCGUAGCUGGUCGGAGAGGAUGAUCAGCCACACUGGAACUGAGACACGGUCCAGACUCCUACGGGAGGCAGCAGUGGGGAAUAUUGGACAAUGGGCGCAAGCCUGAUCCAGCCAUACCGCGUGGGUGAAGAAGGCCUUCGGGUUGUAAAGCCCUUUUGUUGGGAAAGAAAUCCAGCUGGUUAAUACCCGGUUGGGAUGACGGUACCCAAAGAAUAAGCACCGGCUAACUUCGUGCCAGCAGCCGCCGUAA
rnacentral:rRNA from 1 species